ACGAACGCUGGCGGCGUGCUUAACACAUGCAAGUCGAGCGGUAAGGCCCUUUCGGGGGUACACGAGCGGCGAACGGGUGAGUAACACGUGGGUGACCUGCCCUCAGCUCUGGGAUAAGCCCGGGAAACUGGGUCUAAUACCGGAUAUGAACUCCAUGACGCAUGUUGUGGGGUGGAAAGCCUUGUGCGGACUGAGGAUGGGCCCGCGGCCUAUCAGC
rnacentral:rRNA from 1 species